GUUUGUUGUUCAGACACUCUUCAACUUUUUGAACCGUAUGAAGAAACUGUGAAGCUAGAAAGUGUGUGUGAGCUGAUGUGGAUUCAGCAGCAUGGAUCAGUGUGAGGACAGAGAGGAGGGAGUCCCUCCCUCUAAAACCACUCUGUGUGGGGAAGAUGAGAGCCAGAGCAAAGGUCAGAGGAUCCAUCAGAGACUCAAACCAGAACCAGAACCAGAACCCAG